UACGUAGGUGGCAAGCGUUGUCCGGAUUUACUGGGCGUAAAGAGCGCGCAGGCGGUCGAUCAAGUCGCGUGUGAAAGCCCCCGGCUCAACUGGGGAGGGUCACGCGAUACUGCUCGACUCGAAGGCAGGAGAGGGUAGUGGAAUUCCCGGUGUAGUGGUGAAAUGCGUAGAUAUCGGGAGGAACACCAGUGGCGAAGGCGACUACCUGGGCUGUUUCUUGACGCUGAGGCGCGAAAGCUAGGGGAGCAAACGGG
rnacentral:rRNA from 1 species